GACGAACGCUGGCGGCGUGCCUAACACAUGCAAGUCGAACGGAAAGGCCCUGCUUUUGUGCGGUGCUCGAUUGGCGAACGGGUGAGUAACACGUGAGUAACCUGCCCUUGACUUUGGGAUAACUUCAGGAAACUGGGGCUAAUACCGGAUAGGAGCUCCUGCUGCAUGGUGGGGGUUGGAAAGUUUCGGCGGUUGGGGAUGGACUUGCGGCGUAUCAGCUUGUUGGUGGGGUAGUGGCUUACCAGGGCUUUGAGGGGUAGCCGGCCUGAGAGGCGGAUCGGCGGCAUGAGAGCUGAGACGGCGACAAGGGGACUACGGGAGGGACCAGACGGGAAUGGGACGCAACGGUGGAGAGUAUGACGCAGUGAGGCGGAGUCUGUGACGAAGGCGCCCGGAGCGGAAAGCCGUCUUUCGGGUUAAGAACCGCUGUCGCCUGAGACGAAGCGGGCGUGACGGUAACGAAUAAAGAAGCACCGGCUAACUACGUG
rnacentral:rRNA from 1 species